rnacentral:rRNA from 1 species
UACGUAGGGGCAAGCGUUGUCCGGAAUCAUUGGGCGUAAAGAGCGUGUAGGCGGCUCGGUAAGUCCGCUGUGAAAGUCCAGGGCUCAACCCUGGAAUGCCGGUGGAAACUGUCGAGCUAGAGUCCGGAAGAGGAGAGUGGAAUUCCUGGUGUAGCGGUGAAAUGCGCAGAUAUCGAGGAGGAACACCGAAUGGCGAAGGCAGCUCGCUGGGACGGUACUGACGCUGAGGCGCGAAAGCGUGGGAGCAAACAGG